rnacentral:rRNA from 1 species
UACGUAGGGGCCUAGCGUUGUCCGGAAUUAUUGGGCGUAAAGAGCUCGUAGGCGGUUCGGCAAGUCGGAUGUGAAAUCUCCACGCUUAACGUGGAGGGGCCAUUCGAAACUGCUGUGACUCGAGUCCGGUAGGGGAGUGUGGAAUUCCCGGUGUAGCGGUGAAAUGCGCAGAUAUCGGGAGGAACACCGAUGGCGAAGGCAGGUCUCUGGGCAUUAACUGACGCUGAGGAGCGAAAGCAUGGGGAGCGAACAGG